UGGGCUGUAGCCAAGUGGUAAGGCACUAGAUUUUGAUUCUGGCAUUUCGUAGGUUCGAGUCCUGCCAGCCCAGCCA
rnacentral:tRNA from 1 species